CGAGGACUUUCAACGCUCCAGCGAGUUCCUGCCGGUCCCUGCCUGCCGGUUUCCUUCCCUGGCCUGCGCUGCUGUCCAGUAUUCGUUGGAGUUGAAAUAACAGAUAAGCAGACAGCCCCAGCCCACAUAGAAGGACUGGUUGAUCUGGAACAGUCGCAGGCCCAACCUUACACCAUGGAACCAUGCCAAAGAAGAAAACCGUUACAGAAUCACCCACCAACCAAGGACCAAGCGGCGUGGUAAACAGAGGCAACAGCAGCAGCAGGAGAAGCGACAGGUGCAGCAGGAGCAACAGCAGCAGCAGCAAAAGCAGCAGCAGGAGAAGCAGCAGCAACAGCAGUGGGAGAGGCUGCAUUAUUUGGAAGAAUGGACUUGGGAGGAGAUCCUUGACGGGAAAGGACCCUGGGCAGAGCCAGGGGAAUAUUGCCGCCCCAAAGUCAAGCUGGAGGCAGCGAAAGCAGAGAGGCGGCAUUAUGAGGAGCUAGCACGGCAGAGCGGCUGGAAGCCCGAGAGGCACCCCCAAAAAUUUCUUGGAGGGGGCACAAGGAGAGUGUGGCAGAGUCAGGUUCCAGACCUGAGCCAACUCCCCCUGUUUACCGUAAGUAGCCAUGGAUGUUAUCAGAGCUAUCGGCGAGCUGAGGGCUGAGUCUGAGAGGGUCGAGGCGUUAUUGGACAAAUUGGAGGAGAGUGAACGGAUGGGAGAUGACGAGACACUCGAGGAGGUGUUAAUAGAAUUGGAGGAGUGUGAAGAGAGAGGGCAGUUGAUUUGGCGUAGUAUGCAAGGCAUUCGCCCUGAGGUGUGUGUCCCCAGCCCGGUACCACCAGUGCCGGCACCCCACACCAGGCUGUCUCUCCGUCCCAUCAACACAGGUGUUCCCUCCUGUCCGGCGCUACCAGAGUUUCCGCAAC